rnacentral:rRNA from 1 species
NCAUACGACCAUACCCACUGGAAAACUCGGGAUCCCGUCCGCUCUCCCAUAGAUAAGCCAGUAAGGGCCUGACUAGUAGUUGGGUCGGUGACGACCAGCGAAUCCCAGGUGUUGUAUGUU